rnacentral:rRNA from 1 species
GACGAACGCUGGCGGCGUGCUUAACACAUGCAAGUCGAACGGUAAGGCCCUUCGGGGUACACGAGUGGCGAACGGGUGAGUAACACGUGGGUGAUCUGCCCUGCACUUCGGGAUAAGCCUGGGAAACUGGGUCUAAUACCGGAUAGGACUCCUGGCUUCAUGGUUGGGGGUGGAAAGCUUUUGCGGUGUGGGAUGGGACCGCGGCCUAUCAGCUUGUUGGUGGGGUAAUGGCCUACCAAGGCGACGACGGGUAGCCGGCCUGAGAGGGGGACCGGUCACACUGGGACUGAGAUACGGCCCAGACUCCUACGGGAGGCAGCAGUGGGGAAUAUUGCACCAUGGGCGCAAGCCUGAUGCAGCGACGCCGCGUGAGGGAUGACGGCCUUCGGGUUGUAAACCUCUUUCAGCUAUGACGAAGCGCAAGUGACGGUAGUAGCAGAAGAAGGACCGGCCAACCACGUGCCAGCCGCCGCAGUAACAC